rnacentral:tRNA from 1 species
GCGAGCGUAGCUCAGUGGUAGAGCUCCACCUUGCCAAGGUGACUGUCGUGAGUUCGAAUCUCAUCGCUCGCUCCA